GAAACAUCUUCAGAGGCGACAGGAACACCAUGUCUGGGCUGCUGGAGGUUUCUGGGAGGAUUUGUCCUGACGGAGAGGAAGGAGGCGACGUGGAGACGGUUUGAAUCCAACCUGAAAGGUUUAGACGCGUUCAGAACCAACCCGGCCGAUUCGGGCCGUGAACUCCUCCGACCCUUGGCCAGCAGACACUCGAAGAAACGCUGAGACGUCCCAGAGGAUUUUUAAACCUUCAUCAACCGUUUCUACAGUCUGGAGAGAAGAACAUUCAACCUGUAACAGCAGCCUCCAUACUGAGGACGUUUAACAAACAUUAAAUGAUAGUAAACUUAAUUCAGCCGCAAAAACUUUUUUUUUUUUUUAAAUCUUGACUUUCAAUUUGAAAACACGACCGCAGGAAACUGGCUUCAAUAAAAAUGUAACACAUCUACA